rnacentral:rRNA from 1 species
CACCCGCAGCACGAGUAGUGGUCACUUUUAUUGAGCCUAAAGCGUUCGUAGCCGGUUUUGUAAAUCUUCAGAUAAAGCCUGAAGCUUAACUCCAGAAAGUCUGAAGAGACUGCAAGACUUGAGAUCGGGUGAGGUUAAACGUACUUUCAGGGUAGGGGUAAAAUCCUGUAAUCCCGGAAGGACGACCAGUGGCGAAAGCGUUUAACUAGAACGAAUCUGACGGUAAGGAACGAAGGCUAGGGUAGCAAACCGGAUUAGAUACCCGGGUAGUCCUAGCUGUAAACAUUGCCCAUUUGAUGUUGCUUUUCCGUUGAGGGAAGGCAGUGUCGGAGCGAAGGUGUUAAAUGGGCCGCUUGGGAAGUAUGGUCGCAAGACUGAAACUUAAAGGAAUUGGCGGGGGAGCACCGCAACGGGAGGAAUGUGCGGUUUAAUUGGAUUCAACGCCGGGAAAACUCACCGGGAACGACCUGUGCAUGGAGAGUCAACCUGACGAGCUUACUCGAUAGCAGGAGAGGUGGUGCAUGGGCCGUCGUUCAGCUCGUACCGUAGGGCGUUCACUUAAGUGUGAUAACGAGCGAGACCCACAUCUUUAAUUGCAAAUGUAUAUGAGAAUAUGCAUGCACUUUAGAGAAACCGCCAGCGCUAAGCUGGAGGAAGGAGUGGUCGACGGCAGGUCAGUACGCCCCGAAUUUCCCGGGCUACACGCGCAUUACAAAGAACGGGACAAUACGUUGCAACCUCGAAAGAGGAAGCUAAUCGCGAAACCCGUCCAUAGUUAGGAUUGAGGGUUGUAACUCGCCCUCAUGAAUCUGGAUUCCGCAGUAAUCGCGGGUCAACAACCCGCGGUGAACAUGCCCCUGCUCCUUGCACACACCGCCCGUCAAACCAUCCGAGUUGGUGUUGGAUGAGGUUUAAUUCGAGAGGGUUAAAUCAAAUCUGAUGUCGGUGAGGAGGGUU